rnacentral:rRNA from 1 species
GCAUAACGCGAAGAACCUUACCAAGGCUUGACAUCCCCUUGACCGGCACAGAGAUGUGCCCUCUCCUUCGGGAGCAAGGGUGACAGGUGGUGCAUGGUUGUCGUCAGCUCGUGUCGUGAGAUGUUGGGUUAAGUCCCGCAACGAGCGCAACCCUUAUCCUUAGUUGCCAGCAGGUAAAGCUGGGCACUCUAAGGAGACUGCCGAUGAUAAAUCGGAGGAAGGUGGGGAUGACGUCAAAUCAUCAUGCCCCUUAUGUCUUGGGCUACACACGUGCUACAAUGGUCGGUACAAAGGGCAGCGAAGGAGUGAUCUGGAGCGAAUCCCAAUAAACCGAUCUCAGUUCGGAUUGUAGGCUGCAACUCGCCUACAUGAAGUCGGAGUUGCUAGUAAUCGCGAAUCAGAACGUCGCGGUGAAUGCGUUCCCGGGUCUUGUACACACCG